CCUACGGGAGGCAGCAGUAGGGAAUUUUUCACAAUGGGCGAAAGCCUGAUGGAGCAAUGCCGCGUGAGUGAUGAAGGUCUUAUAGAUUGUAAAAUUCUUUUAUUUGGGAAGAAAAACUAAAGUCGGAAAUGACUUUAGUCUGACUGUACCAUUUGAAUACGUAUCGGCUAACUAUGUCCCAGCAGCCGCGGUAAUACAUAGGAUGCAAGCGUUAUCCGGAUUUAUUGGGCGAAAGACGAGCGCAGGCGGGUUAACAAGUUAGGUAUGAAAGGCUGUGGCUAAACGAAAGUUUGUAUCAGAAACUGGUAAUCUGGAGUGUAGUAGAGAGUUGUGGAAUUCCAGGUGGAGCGGUGGAAUGCGUAGAUAUAUGGAAGAACACCAGUGGCGAAGGCGAGAACUUAGGCCAUCACUGACGCUGAGGCGCGAAAGUGUGGGGAGCAAAUAGGAUUAGAUACCCCUGUAGUC
rnacentral:rRNA from 1 species